rnacentral:rRNA from 1 species
AACGAACGCUGGCGGCAUGCCUAACACAUGCAAGUCGAACGAUCCCUUCGGGGAUAGUGGCGCACGGGUGCGUAACGCGUGGGAACCUGCCCUUAGGUUCGGAAUAACUCAGAGAAAUUUGAGCUAAUACCGGAUAAUGUCUUCGGACCAAAGAUUUAUCGCCUUUGGAUGGGCCCGCGUUGGAUUAGCUAGUUGGUGGGGUAAAGGCCUACCAAGGCGACGAUCCAUAGCUGGUCUGAGAGGAUGAUCAGCCACACUGGGACUGAGACACGGCCCAGACUCCUACGGGAGGCAGCAGUGGGGAAUAUUGGACAAUGGGCGAAAGCCUGAUCCAGCAAUGCCGCGUGAGUGAUGAAGGCCUUAGGGUUGUAAAGCUCUUUUACCCGGGAUGAUAAUGACAGUACCGGGAGAAUAAGUCCCGGCUAACUCCGUG